rnacentral:misc_RNA from 1 species
GAUGAAGAACGCAGCGAAAUGCGAUAAGUAAUGUGAAUUGCAGAAUUCAGUGAAUCAUCGAAUCUUUGAACGCACCUUGCGCCCUUUGGCCAUUCCGAAGGGCAUGCCUGUUUGAGUAUCAUGAACACCUCAACUCUUUAUGGUUUUCCAUGAUGAGCUUGGACUCUGGGGGUUUUGCUGGCUCACAGUCGGCUCCUCUAAAAUGAAUCAGCUUACCAGUGUUUGGUGGGUAUCAUGGGUGUGAUAACUAUCUACGCUUGUGGUUUUCCACCAGGUAACCUUCAGCAGUGGAGGUUCGCUGGAGCUCACAGAUGUGUCUCUCCUCAGUGAGGACAGCUCUUUGAAUGUUUGAUCUCAAAUCAGGUAGGACUACCCGCUGAACUUAAGCAUAUCAAUAAGCGGAGGA